CAGUGGUGUGUGUUAUUAAGAAAUGAGAAGAUCGGACUGACGGCCACUGUGCGCACUUGUAAAUAAGUCCUCCCGGUUGCUGCAGAAACUGACGAGUAUUGAACACUGCAGACUGGCUUCGGGAGAGAGAGGACACACUGGCUGAACAUCUUAAUCGGGCAACUUCCAAUUUUCACAUCCCUGAGUUCAAUCCCAAGGAAUACCCACGUGUAUUGCUCUCUUUUCACCGGGGAAAAGAUCGGCCAUGCCCCGCCUGUCCGUGUGCCUGGCUGUUUUAGUCUACACAUGUGUGUCCAUGAAGCUCAUAUCAGCGGAGGAACCCAACAGCAAGUCAAAUACAGAAGAGAAAUAUUUCUCACCUGGAGAACCAACAUGGCCGACAGGGAACGGAGUAUAUGAAGAUGAAAUACAAGCAUUGGGUGGUGAUGGCGAGGGACAUGUGAAACGCGUUGGCGACAGAGAGAACCGAUCUUCUGGAACUUCUCUGUGGACAAAGAUUCUCAACCGAUUAGGAAAAACACAGGAAACGUUCGGCACUUCCGGUCAGUACCCGAACCUGCCUGGCAAGACGGGGUAUGAAAGGAGGUAUCUGGCUCCUCAAAGUGGCCUUGGCAAAACUCAAACGGAAUCUUUCAGGUAUGCCUUCGUUUGAAAAAGAGCGCGCAAUGAAUGACGGAAAAUUUAAAACGCAGAAGAAACGAGGCCUGUCAAUAAAUGGCGCACUAUCUUCUUUGGCGGAUAUGCUUUCGGCGGAGGGUCAACGUCGAGAUCACGCCGCGGCGCUUCGGCUUCGACAGCGCCUCCUAGUGGCAGGAAAACGUUGAAAAAAGGACGCAAAUUAUGGAUUCAAAAUUAUUCGGUCUUAAAAGACAUCUAGUGACAAUCUAACACUUUCAAACGAUAUAUCGUGGUCCACUUUUCAACGAUAUAUCGUGGUCAAGGGCAACUGAGUGAAAACAAUUAUAAGUUGGAACAUGACUUUCAAAACGUUUUUGAAAUGAUGUCAGUGAACUUUGGUUCAGUUGCACGGUAUAAGUCAACACAAUUAUAAGCAUGGGUGUUUCUGAAUUCAGUGUUUGAGUUUUAUUGUGAUAAUCAGGGAUUGGUCGACAAAUUUUCACGGUGGGAUCUAACAACGGACAUGAACACUUUUGUUUGUGUUAAAAACAAAGACGAUUCUGUUGCUAAUUUCAGCCUCUCAAACAGCACGGAUAAUGAUUGGUCUACUUUUUGUCACUAACAAAAUACAUUAUAUUAAUUGAUAUCCUCGUGUAAUGUUGUCCUGUUAUCAACUCUGUUAAGAACAGUAAUUCUAUUUUCAGAAAUAUAGACACACGUUAAGUUCUCGUCUUGCAAAUGAGCUUUUCCACUAAGCAAAAUGCCCUUCGCUUGUGUUGCUAGUAAACAGACAGUUGAAGUCAAACAGAUAAAAAUACGAAACAUACAAAUUACCAUUAUGACGAGUUAUUGGUUCAUCUCAACAGAUGUAAUCUGGCAAAGCAGUUACUAUUAUACUUGCAGGUCAACAUUGUCAGACCUUUACUAGUGUUAUUGUUGAACAAGACGACGACGGGCAAUUUCCACACUUUUCAACACAUAACCCAAUGUGCUGCUUGACUGUAGAGCAAAAUAACUCAUUGGGUUAUGUUUGCAAUCGUCCCUCUGAGACUCAUACCGUUUACAAACAAGUUCUACGUGAAAUCCCCUGACCCCAAUUCCGUUUCCGUAAACGUUUAUUCCGUAACAAUUAUGAAUACAACCAAUUAAACUGCUGUGGGACGCUGAAUGUCUUCACAACAAACGGUGAUUUUACGUUAAUGGGGUGUUCUUAAUAUCCGCCGGGAUUGCAAAUCGCCCUAUUCCUUAUGCAGGCCAAAUUUAUACCAAUCAUAAAGUUAGCGAUAUAGCAAGUUGCUCCGACUUUUUGGCUGCAUUAUGUUAACACACGAAACUCUCUCGUACCGCAUUGUUCUAUUUAUUUAAGACAGGAAUCAACGAGUCGACAUAACGCUAUGAUAUCACACUUAUUUUUAUUACACAGUUUGAAUGACAGCUUGUUAUAAUCAGAAAUAUAUUUUUUCUGAUGAAGGAAGCUGUAGCCAGUAACGGCAGAACAAAGGGUUUAUCGUCCACUAUAAAAAAAAAAACAAAAAACAAUCGAUGCUAGAGGUUAAAUUUGUCCGAUUUUCGAGACAUUAAUUCUCGCUCUCUAUUAGAUAAAAAAGGGAUAAAUUUCAAUCAUUUCCCGGGGAACCGUGAGGGGUACGAUAAUGAUUCACACUCUAUAAAUGGAUGUGAAUCAGCUACCCACAGUUUAGUUCAACAACGUGAGGAGGGUCUCAGACCAGCUCUGGUAGAUUGCUCAAUAUAUGUAUAAAGCUGUUCAUAAACAGAUUCUAUGUGUAGUGUAAACAAGAAUAACGAAUAUUGUAUUCUCCAGAAUAUAUUUUGUUGUGGAAUAAAGUGAUUGUUGCCAA